AGGACGAACGCUGGCGGCGUGCCUAACACAUGCAAGUCGAGCGAUGAAAUCCUUCGGGAUGGAUUAGCGGCGGACGGGUGAGUAACACGUGGGUAACCUGCCUUGUAGAGGGGGACUAGGCCGUUCCGAAAGGAAGAUUAAUACCGCAUAACAUCUUUUUAUCGCAUGGUAGAAAGAUCAAAGGAGUAAUCCGCUACAAGAUGGACCCGCGGCGCAUUAGCUAGUUGGUGAGGUAACGGCUCACCCAAGGCGACGAUGCGUAGCCGACCUGAGAGGGUGAUCGGCCACAUUGGAACUGAGACACGGUCCAGACUCCUACGGGAGGCAGCAGUGGGGAAUAUUGCGCAAUGGGGGGAAAAACCCCCUGACGCAGCAACGCCGCGUGAAUGAAGAAGGCCUUAGGGUUGUAAAGUUCUGUUUACGGGGACGAUAAUGACGGUACCCGUGGAGGAAGCCACGGCUAACUACGUGCCAGCCGCAGC
rnacentral:rRNA from 1 species